UACGGAGGGGGCUAGCGUUGUUCGGAAUUACUGGGCGUAAAGCGCACGUAGGCGGCUUGGUAAGUUAGAGGUGAAAGCCUGGAGCUCAACUCCAGAAUUGCCUUUAAGACUGCCGAGCUAGCAGGUGAGAGAGGUGAGUGGAAUUCCGAGUGUAGAGGUGAAAUUCGUAGAUAUCGAGAGGAACACCGGUGGCGAAGGCGGCCAACUGGACGAAUACUGACGCUGAGACUCGAAAGCGUGGGGAGCAAACAGG
rnacentral:rRNA from 1 species